rnacentral:rRNA from 1 species
CGUAGGGUAACCUGCCCAAGAGACUGGGAUAACACCUGGAAACAGAUGCUAAUACCGGAUAACAACACUAGACGCAUGUCUAGAGUUUAAAAGAUGGUUCUGCUAUCACUCUUGGAUGGACCUGCGGUGCAUUAGCUAGUUGGUAAGGUAACGGCUUACCAAGGCAAUGAUGCAUAGCCGAGUUGAGAGACUGAUCGGCCACAUUGGGACUGAGACACGGCCCAAACUCCUACGGGAGGCAGCAG